CCAAUAGCGUAUAUUAAAGUUGUUGCAGUUAAAAAGCUCGUAGUUGAAUUUCGGGGUCAGUAGGUUGGUCAUGCCACUGGUAUGUACUGGUCUCACUGAUUCCUCCUUCCUGAUGAGCCGUAAUGCCAUUAAUUUGGUGUUGCGAGGAAUCUGGACUGUUACUUUGAAAAAAUUAGAGUGUUUAAAGCAGGCUAACGCUUGAAUACAUUAGCAUGGAAUAUUGAAAUAGGACGUUCGAUCUUAUUUUGUUGGUUUCUAAGAUUGACGUAAUGAUUAAUAGGGAUAGUUGGGGGCAUUAGUAUUCAAUUGUCAGAGGUGAAAUUCUUGGAUUUAUUGAAGACUAACUACUGCGAAAGCAUUUGCCAAGGAUGUUUUCAUUAAUCAAGAACGAAAGUUAGGGGAUCGAAGACGAUCAGAUACCGUCGUAGUCUUAACCAUAAACUAUGCCGACUAGGGAUCGGAUGAUGUUAAUUUUUUAAUGACUCAUUCGGCGCCUUACG
rnacentral:rRNA from 1 species